rnacentral:rRNA from 1 species
GUGGGGAAUAUUGCGCAAUGGGGGAAACCCUGACGCAGCGACGCCGUGUGAGGGAAGAAGGCUUUCGGGUCGUAAACCUCUGUCAGAAAGGAAGAACCUCCCAAGUCCGAAUAGGGCUUGGGACUGACGGUACUUUCAAAGGAAGCACCGGCUAACUCCGUGCCAGCAGCCGCGGUAAUACGGAGGGUGCAAGCGUUAAUCGGAAUCACUGGGCGUAAAGCGCGCGUAGGCCGCUUUGUAAGUCGGACGUGAAAGCCCUCGGCUCAACCGGGGAACUGCGUUCGAUAAUGCGAGGCUUGAGUCCUGGAGAGGGUGGCGGAAUUCCGGGUGUAGGAGUGAAAUCCGUAGAUAUCCGGAGGAACACCGGUGGCGAAGGCGGCCACCUGGACAGGUACUGACGCUGAGGCGCGAAAGCGUGGGGAGCAAACAGGAUUAGAAACCCGAGUAGUCC